CCAGGUUAUAAAGUACCAGGAAAAACAUCAAAAGAGGCUCUUCACUCACUACGAGCAAAGGAAUGAAAAGCUAGAGGAGGCAGUAGUGAGGAUGAAGCAAGAAAUGCAGCAGAUGACAAAGAAGCUGAAUGAACAGAGUGCCUACAUUGCUAAGCUGGAAAAUGCACUAAAGCUUCAGAGUACCAAAGCUUCAUCUGGGCACCAUAUGAGCCAUAGUUCCCAAACCCCACAUGGACAUAAACCAGGUAAACUAUCUCUUAUUGUAU